rnacentral:rRNA from 1 species
CGCGUGCACUGGUCCGGCCGGGCCUUUCCCUCUGCGGAACCCCAUGCCCUUCACUGGGUGUGGCGGGGAAACAGGACUUUUACUUUGAAAAAAUUAGAGUGCUCAAGGCAGGCCUAUGCUCGAAUACAUUAGCAUGGAAUAAUAGAAUAGGACGUGUGGUUCUAUUUUGUUGGUUUCUAGGACCGCCGUAAUGAUUAAUAGGGACAGUCGGGGGCAUCAGUAUUCAAUUGUCAGAGGUGAAAUUCUUGGAUUUAUUGAAGACUAACUACUGCGAAAGCAUUUGCCAAGGAUGUUUUCAUUAAUCAGGAACGAAAGUUAGGGGAUCGAAGACGAUCAGAUACCGUCGUAGUCUUAACCAUAAACUAUGCCGACUAGGGAUCGGACGAUGUUACAUUUUUGACGCGUUCGGCACCUUACGAGAAAUCAAAGUGCUUGGGCUCCAGGGGGAGUAUGGUCGCAAGGCUGAAACUUAAAGAAAUUGACGGAAGGGCACCACCAGGGGUGGAGCCUGCGGCUUAAUUUGACUCAACACGGGGAAACUCACCAGGUCCAGACACAAUGAGGAUUGACAGAUUGAGAGCUCUUUCUUGAUUUUGUGGGUGGUGGUGCAUGGCCGUUCUUAGUUGGUGGAGUGAUUUGUCUGCUUAAUUGCGAUAACGAACGAGACCUUAACCUGCUAAAUAGCCCGUAUUGCUUUGGCAGUACGCUGGCUUCUUAGAGGGACUAUCGG